GACUGGAGUUGAGACUUGUGCCCUUCUAAUCAGGGCUCAAAUUUCACUAUAUAAAUUGGUGUCCAAAAGGAAGUUCUUUGGGAACUAGCUGCAGGACACAGCUCCAAGAUCAGAGCUGCCUGACCUCAACACUCUGCCAGUGACACCAUGCAGAAACUGGA